GCCGUGGCUCAGUGGCAGAGCUCCAGCAUUGCAUGCAGAAGGCCCUGGAUUCAAUCCUCGCCAUCUCCA